CAUAUUCCCGCCAAGGAUAAACAUCAGUUAUAUUCUGUACAUUACAACACUAUUGACCUUUUUCCUUGUCUUUACAGCUGGCAUGAUCCCAGACUCGUAAUACUUGUUUACCAAAAACCAUCCAAGCUAUGGGAUUGAAGGUAACGGCGAGUUUGUCGCUAAGAUUGGAAUCUUUCUUCAACACAUCAUCGACCGUAAAAAACUUAAGGGACACGAGAGAACAAAAUACGGAUGAAACGUGCUAAUUCUACCGUCAGUCUGCUAAUCAGCUAAUGCAAAUCAGAGCGAUGCAGCAGGAAGAGGAACGGGAACUUGCUUUGGAAAUGCUCAUCAAAUUGAGGUGGUUGAGGCUGCGAUUAAAAUUUGCCUCUUGUACGCAGUUGUUAGAAUGAUUCCAACGAGAAUUAUUGAUGUUGUUUAUAGAAUAAGUUAUUAGUAUAAUGUAUUCUAAGUAUGUAGAAUUAAACGCAAUCAAAUACAAUUUUUUAAAUUAAAAAUAA